rnacentral:lncRNA from 1 species
GUUAGAAGCCAUAGUCAAUGAACCGGCUUAAAUGAACAACUUUUUCAACAAACAGAAUAUAACCAAAACAGGUAUCCACAUACAACAACCAACAAACAGAAUACAGUCAGGUCAGGUAUUCACAGACAACACCAGAUGCUCAUAAGUACACAGUCAAACAAUCACAUAUAAUACCGAAGAUAAGGACAGAGUUACCCUCCUUCUUCGCGACCGGAGAAGAUCGGCCUUCAAACAACAGAGAAACCCUAGGUAUCACACCCUAGGUGUAACCUUAAAAGCAACUUUACUGGAAAUGUGGUCAGGAACGUCGGAGAAGCAUCCAAAACGUCCACUGAGUGAGAAUCGAGCCACCGGAAGGCAAUAAAACCUCAAGUCAAACCACCAGAAACCCUAGAAGCCGAUAGGUCACCCAAAAUCAACCAACCAAAAAUCAUCAUAAAAUGUUCCAGAAUGUUCAGGAGAAGAAAAUACACUCGGAUAUCACGAUGAGAGACUCAGAAAAAUCUCUGAUAGGUUGAAAUCUUCAUCGCCCGUGAGGUCUCAAGAGUCACCCCAAAAACGUCGAAACAGACUUCAUCCAAGACCACGAAGCACAUAGAAACAUGAUAGGAUCGUCGUUGAGGCUCUGAUACCAUGAAAACAUCGAGGUUAAGCCGAGAAAUCAUGGAGAUUGUAGAGAGAGAAAGUAGAGAGAAGGAGGAGGAUUUGAGAUGUCUCUGGAACUCAGAGAGUUUUUAUUAAACCGAGAACAAACAAUGAAAAAUGAAG